rnacentral:sRNA from 1 species
CGUGAAGACAUUUGUCGUUGUGCUGAGGCACUGGUUGGAUUCGGGGGUGCGUGUCUCCCUCAUGUCUGCCCGGCAUCCUCGGCUCAGAACCCCUCCUGCUGCUCCUUCUUGAUUGCUCGUUGUCUUGUCUUCUUUUGAGGUGAAGUUGAGUCCUCCCUCUUUCUUCCUUGCCUUUCUCCGGCCACACGCCCCGUUGCCGUGCAUGGGCCCCUGCUCAGUGCCUCACCUGACCCACUGCACCUGGCCAGGUGGAGGAGCAUGUCAGCCGCAUCCGGGAGGAGCUGGACCGUGAGCGGGAGGAACGAAACUACUUCCAGCUGGAGCGGGACAAGAUCCACACCUUCUGGGAGAUCACACGGAGGCAGCUGGAGGAGAAGAAGGCUGAGCUGCGGAACAAAGACCGGGAGAUGGAAGAAGCCGAGGAGAGGCACCAGGUGGAGAUCAAGGUGUACAAGCAGAAAGUGAAGCACCUGCUAUAUGAGCACCAGAACAACCUGACAGAGAUGAAGGCCGAGGGCACCGUAGUCAUGAAGCUGGCACAGAAAGAGCACCGCACACAGGAGGGUGUGCUGCGCAAGGACAUGCGGGCACUGAAGGUGGAGCUCAAGGAGCAGGAGCUGGCCAAUGAGGUGGUGGUGAAGAACCUGCGGCUGAAACACACCGAGGAGAUCACCAGGAUGCGGAAUGAUUUUGAGAGGCAAGUUCGAGAAAUUGAGGCCAAGUAUGAUAAGAAGAUGAAGAUGCUGAGGGACGAGCUCGACUUGCGGAGAAAGACUGAGCUCCACGAAGUAGAGGAGAGGAAGAAUGGCCAGAUCCACACGCUGAUGCAGCGCCACGAGGAGGCCUUCACCGACAUUAAGAACUACUACAACGACAUCACCCUCAACAACCUGGCCCUCAUCAACUCCCUCAAGGUGCUGUGCGUGGGCUGGGCUGGGCUGGGGAGGCACACUCUGCCUGUCCUAGAAUGUGGGCUGCAGAGUCCUGGGGAUCCAGACCCCAGCUCUCCACCCCAACACACCCAGUACUUUUUAUAAGAUUAUUUGACAAUGCCCCUCUCAUAUCCUUAACUGAAAUUCCUAAAUAACGUAACCUAUCUCUACCUAUGGUUAAAAGCAGUCAGGAUAUUGCCCUCACCGUAGUGCAGAGGGGGAAGUAAUAAAGUGUGUUCUGGUUUGUAAAAGCUCAGAUGGAACCGCAGUGAGGGCCGUGAUGUGGCUGGAGUGGAUAGGUGUCAUAGUCACUGCCUGCGACAGGUGGAUAGGUGUCAUCGUCACUGGAUGCUGGCAGUGACAGGAUUUUCUACAGUAGACAACGGCCCUUGGUGGAAUCUUGAACGAAGUGUAGUCCUUCAGUCUGCAUGGAAGCUGCAUUCCCAGAAAACUCAGAAUAAGUUGAAGCUGCAGAAAUACUGUUUAUACAUAGAAGACGUCUAGGUGCCAGCGUGCCUGAGGCUGGCAGCAGCUGGUGAUGGGCAGGAGAGCACCCAGCUCUCACCAUGCAGGCCACAGCCCCUUUGGUUCUGCCUGCUGAGCCCCUGCCGGGCCUGUGCUUGUGCCUGCAGGAGCAGAUGGAGGACAUGCGGAAGAAGGAGGACCACCUGGAGAGGGAGAUGGCAGAGGUGUCUGUGCAGAACAAGCGCCUGGCAGAACCUCUCCAGAAGGCUCGGGAGGAGAUGAACGAGAUGCAGAAACAGCUCGCAAACUACGAGAGGGACAAGCAGACCCUGCUUUGCACAAAAGCCCGUUUGAAAGUCACGGAGAAAGAGCUGAAAGACCUGCAGUGGGAGCAUGAAGUGUUAGAGCAGCGGUUCACCAAGGUGCAGCAGGAGCGGGACGAGCUCUAUGGGAAGUUCACCGCAGCCAUCCAGGAGGUGCAGCAGAAGACAGGGUUCAAGAACCUCGUGCUAGAACGCAAGCUGCAGGCUCUGAGCGCCGCUGUGGAGAAGAAGGAGGUGCAGUUCAACGAGGUCCUGGCUGCCUCUAACCUGGACCCUGCAGCCCUGACGCUGGUGUCCCGCAAGCUGGAGGAUGUUCUUGAAUCGAAGAACAGCACCAUCCAGGACCUGCAGUAUGAGCUGGCCCGGGUCUGUAAGGCCCAUAACGACCUGCCCUGUCUCCACAGGCCCAUAACGACCUGCCCUGUCUCCACAGGCCCAUAACGACCUGCUGCGCACGUAUGAGGCAAAGCUGCUGGCCUUCGGGAUCCCUCUGGACAACGUGGGCUUCACGCCCUUGGAAACAGCUGUGAUCGGACAGACGCUGGGCCAGGGCCCCGCAGGACUGGUGGGCACCCCGACGUAGCUGCCCCCCUGGGGGGCCACAGCCCAGAGAACCAGCCUAGGAACACUCUUGGGAUGACACCCCUUAUUACACCAAGGACAGCAAGUUUUUUAGAUUUUAUCAUCAGCAAAUGAAAGCUUUUCACAUGUUCUUGCCAUCCUCUUUCCUGGCUCUGUGGAGGAGAACCACCUGCAGGACCCUCACCCAUGGCGUCCCUGUCGCUCCCUUCCCUGGGUGCAGCACGUCCAGCCUGUGUCCAGGCCUACUCCCUGGUCUCCCCUCCGACCACAGUCGGCAGCACCUUCUCAGAGUGCCCCGCACUCACCUGGGGGUUGGGGCAGUGCCGCGCUGUGCUGCCUGUCUUCGCGCCACUGUUGUCCCACCGAAUGGACAGCUUUGCAGGUGCUGGCACUAACUUCAUUGACACCUGAGUCACAGCUGCCCAGUGGGAUUCUCCGGGGGGCCAGGACUUCCCUAGGAAGUGGUGAGCCAAUGUUCCCUGAUGAGCACAAAGCCCGGUCUGUUGAGGGCUGGGUGGGUGCAGCCAGCGUGCGGGAAAGGGCAGGCAGCCUCCCGCUGCCAGUCUUCACUCUAACUCCCUCGGUAGGUGAUGUAGGACCAGGGGCACGUGGAACUUCUGGGCCUUGCUGGUGAUGGUUAAAACAACCUGAGAUGGAGAGACCAGGAGAGAGUAUAAGGGGAUAGCAGCAAACCACCUAUCUGGCCCCAACACACCUGAGAGAAUUCAGCAGCCCAGACUGAGGGUCUGGGAUGGGGUGAACCUUCCGCACCAGAGGGACACUCCACAGAAGCCACAGCCCAGUAAGUCAGGCGCUUCUGCGGCGGCUCCAGUGUGGGGUGAGGCAGUGAGGUUAGGCCCAGAGAGCUGGAGUUGGCUCAGAUGAAAACCUCUGUCAACAAAGAGGGGAUGAAUCACCCUUGGCCCAGCCUCCCCACAAAGCCUGACCCUGGGCAGGUGAGUGACGGGUGUGUCCUCAUAGAGUCUGUUGCUGCCUGGACACCUUUCUUUUGGGAGCUCAAAGCAAGUGAGCUCACCUACCUGCCACCGCCCAGGACCAGUCUGCCCACUGCCUAAAUGAUGCCCGGCCAGCAGGACCUGGCCUGCAGAUCCCAGUGAGUCAUGAGCCUCAGCCCCCUCCAGCCCACUGGGGCUCUCACCUCCACAUGUGGGUAGAAGCUUUCCUGCCCCCUCUUCCUCCAGUAGCCCUCAGUGUCGAAGGUGAGCUUGUAGGUGCCUGCCUUCAUCUGGUCCGGCGUCAGGAGUCCAGGACAGCGGCCAUCUGGGUCUGUGUAGCUGGGGAGAAGAUGAGGCUGCAGAGAUGGGGACCAGAAGCCCCCCACCCCAGCUUUCCUGGGUCUGCAUCCCAGUGGGCCUCAGACACUGCCCUGCCACCUGUCAGACUUGGGUGAGCAGACACAGUGAGGCUGUUAGGUCCUGCAGUUCCAGAGCAGUCUAGGGACACCACUGCCCUGUCUUUAGGAAAUCACAACACAGAGAAGCAAAAAGGGAAAAAGUCUCCCACAGUUUAUCCCAUGAGCAAUAACCACUUUAUAGCUGGCGUAUAUUUUUCCAGAUUUUCUCUAUGCAUAUUUGUUUAAAAACUUAUAAAGUGGAUUAUACUAUUU